AUACGAAGGGUGCAAGCGUUACUCGGAAUUACUGGGCGUAAAGCGUGCGUAGGUGGUUGUUUAAGUCUGUCGUGAAAGCCCUGGGCUCAACCUGGGAAUGGCGAUGGAAACUGGGCGACUAGAGUGUGGCAGCGGGUAGUGGAAUUCCUGGUGUAGCAGUGAAAUGCGUAGAGAUCAGGAGGAACAUCCGUGGCGAAGGCGACUGCCUGGGCCAACACUGACACUGAGGCACGAAAGCGUGGGGAGCAAACAGGAUUAGAUACCCUGGUAGUCCACGCCCUAAACGAUGCGAACUGGAUGUUGGGUGCAAGUUGGCACGCAGUAUCGAAGCUAACGCGUUAAGUUCGCCGCCUGGGGAGUACGGUCGCAAGACUGAAACUCAAAUGAAUUGGCGGGG
rnacentral:rRNA from 1 species